rnacentral:rRNA from 1 species
AGGGGGACAACAGUUGGAAACGACUGCUAAUACCGCAUAAUGUAUUCGGAAGGCAUCUUCUGAAUACCAAAGGAGAAAUCCGCUGAGGGAUGGGCUCACGUCUGAUUAGUUAGUUGGUGAGGUAACGGCUCACCAAGACUGCGAUCAGUAGCCGGACUGAGAGGUUGAACGGCCACAUUGGGACUGAGAUACGGCCCAGACUCCUACGGGAGGCAGCAGUGGGGAAUAUUGGGCAAUGGGCGAAAGCCUGACCCAGCAACGCCGCGUGAAGGAAGAAGGCCUUCGGGUUGUAAACUUCUUUUAAGAGGGACGAAGAAUUGACGGUACCUCUUGAAUAAGCCACGGCUAACUAC